rnacentral:rRNA from 1 species
GAUGAACGCUGGCGGCGUGCUUAACACAUGCAAGUCGAACGAGAAGUGGAGACGUAAACCUUCGGGCGGACGUCUCUAUUUCGAGUGGCGGACGGGUGAGUAACGCGUAGGUAACCUUCCUCAUACAGGGGGAUAACAGUUGGAAACGACUGUUAAUACCGCAUAAGACUACAGCACCGCAUGGUGCGGGGGUAAAAACUCCGGUGGUAUGGGAUGGACCCGCGUUCGAUUAGCCAGUUGGCGGGGUAACGGCCCACCAAAGCGACGAUCGAUAGCCGAUCUGAGAGGAUGACCGGCCACAUUGGGACUGAGACACGGCCCAGACUCCUACGGGAGGCAGCAGUGGGGAAUAUUGCACAAUGGGGGAAAGCCUGAUGCAGCGACGCCGCGUGAGUGAAGAAGUAUUUCGGUAUGUAAAGCCCUAUCAGCAGGGAAGAUAAUGACGGUACCUGAGUAAGAAGCCCCGGCUAACUACGUG